UGUGGAGGAAAAAGUUUUUUAAAAAAUCCCGUCUGAUCUUGGAAACUAAGCAGGGGCAGGCCUGGUUAAUACUUGGAUGGGAGACCACCUAGGAAGACCAGAUGCUUUGGCCU
rnacentral:rRNA from 1 species